UACGUAGGUGGCAAGCGUUGUCCGGAUUUAUUGGGUUUAAAGGGUGCGUAGGCGGCCCUGUAAGUCAGUGCUGAAAUAUCCCAGCUUAACUGGGAGGGUGGCAUUGAUACUGCGGGGCUAGAGUACAGAUGAGGUAGGCGGAAUUGACGGUGUAGCGGUGAAAUGCUUAGAUAUCGAGAGGAACACCUGCGGCGAAGGCGGGUAGCUGGGCCGACACUGACGCUGAUGCGCGAAAGCCAGGGGAGCGAACGGG
rnacentral:rRNA from 1 species